rnacentral:rRNA from 1 species
UACGAAGGGGGCUAGCGUUGUUCGGAAUCACUGGGCGUAAAGCGCACGUAGGCGGCUUGUUAAGUCAGGGGUGAAAUCCUGGAGCUCAACUCCAGAACUGCCUUUGAUACUGAAGAUCUUGAGUUCGGGAGAGGUGAGUGGAACUGCGAGUGUAGAGGUGAAAUUCGUAGAUAUUCGCAAGAACACCAGUGGCGAAGGCGGCUCACUGGCCCGAUACUGACGCUGAGGCACGAAAGCGUGGGGAGCAAACAGGG